GUGAGUGGUACUCGCAUGGACGAAGUCUGACGGAGCAACGCCGCGUGAGUGAUGAAGGUUUUCGGAUCGUAAAGCUCUGUUGUUAGGGAAGAACAAGUGCCGUUCAAAUAGGGCGGCACCUUGACGGUACCUAACCAGAAAGCCACGGCUAACUACGUGCCAGCAGCCGCGGUAAUACGUAGGUGGCAAGCGUUGUCCGGAAUUAUUGGGCGUAAAGGGCUCGCAGGCGGUUUCUUAAGUCUGAUGUGAAAGCCCCCGGCUCAACCGGGGAGGGUCAUUGGAAACUGGGGAACUUGAGUGCAGAAGAGGAGAGUGGAAUUCCACGUGUAGCGGUGAAAUGCGUAGAGAUGUGGAGGAACACCAGUGGCGAAGGCGACUCUCUGGUCUGUAACUGACGCUGAGGAGCGAAAGCGUGGGGAGCGAACAGGAUUAGAUACCCUGGUAGUCCACGCCGUAAACGAUGAGUGCUAAGUGUUAGGGGGUUUCCGCCCCUUAGUGCUGCAGCUAACGCAUUAAGCACUCCGCCUGGGGAGUACGGUCGCAAGACUGAAACUCAAAGGAAUUGACGGGGGCCCGCACAAGCGGUGGAGCAUGUGGUUUAAUUCGAAGCAACGCGAAGAACCUUACCAGGUCUUGACAUCCUCUGACAAUCCUAGAGAUAGGACGUCCCCUUCGGGGGCAGAGUGACAGGUGGUGCAUGGUUGUCGUCAGCUCGUGUCGUGAGAUGUUGGGUUAAGUCCCGCAACGAGCGCAACCCUUGAUCUUAGUUGCCAGCAUUCAGUUGGGCACUCUAAGGUGACUGCCGGUGACAAACCGGAGGAAGGUGGGGAUGACGUCAAAUCAUCAUGCCCCUUAUGACCUGGGCUACACACGUGCUACAAUGGACAGAACAAAGGGCAGCGAAACCGCGAGGUUAAG
rnacentral:rRNA from 1 species